GGUAUCAGCUCAUAGCGUAUAUUAAGUUGUUGCAGUUAAAAAGCUCGUAGUUGAAUUUCGGGGUUAGUAAGUUGGUCAUGCCUUCGGUAUGUACUGGCUUUACUGAUUCCUCCUUCUUGACGAACCGUGAUGUCAUUAAUUUGGUGUUGCGGGAAAUCAGGACUGUUACUUUGAAAAAAUUAAAGUGUUUAAAGCAGGA
rnacentral:rRNA from 1 species